UACGAUGAGAUAAACACAGGAUGCUAAGGAGGUGGGUCCCAUCCAACCAGUUGAAAGCUUGACUAGAACAAAAGACUGACCCACUCCGGAGUAAGAGAGACUUCCUUCUGCCUGACUGCUUUGAGACCCGGACAUUGGCUUUUCUCAGCCUUCAGACUCAGAAGUAAACACUGGCUCCAUCUGGGUCUUAGACUCGGCCUUUGGACUGGAACUACACCAUUGGUUCUCAGGCCUUUGAACUUGGACUGGAACUAUAUCAUCAGUUCUCCUGGGUCUCCAGCUUGCCAACUUACCCUGAAGAUCUUGGGGAUCUUGGGAUUUAUUAGCUUCCAUAAUCAAAAAGCCAAUUUUUUAUAAUAAAACUAUCUAUCAAAAUAUCUACCAUUCGUUCUGUUUCCCUGGAGAAUCCUGACUGAUGUAUAUUUACUUAAAAAAAAAAAUUUUCUCACAUAGCCGGAAUAUAACU
rnacentral:lncRNA from 1 species